UACGUAGGGGGCAAGCGUUAUCCGGAUUUACUGGGUGUAAAGGGAGCGUAGACGGCGGUGCAAGCCAGAUGUGAAAACUCAGGGCUCAACCCUGAGCCUGCAUUUGAAACUGUGUUUCUUGAGUGCUGGAGAGGCAAUCGGAAUUCCGUGUGUAGCGGUGAAAUGCGUAGAUAUACGGAGGAACACCAGUGGCGAAGGCGGAUUGCUGGACAGUAACUGACGCUGAGGCGCGGAAGCGUGGGGAGCAAACAGG
rnacentral:rRNA from 1 species